UCUGGCUGUGAUGACAAACUUGCCCUCACUGAAAUGAUCUGAUUGAGAUUUUUGUUAACUGAGCCAUU
rnacentral:snoRNA from 1 species